UGAUGAGCUCUGCCCAGGUCCUGAGCUGACUGAAGGACGUAAUCCCCAAAGACGUCAGGAAGGAGCUGGGAGAAAAAGGCAGAGGGGCGACCGCUUUCGACAGACUCAGGGAAGAAAAAACCUCCCUAAAAGAUUUGAUCCAGAUCUGAAGUUGAUGAACAGCAACCAGUGAGAUGGUCCACCUGAGUCGCUUUCCUCAGAGGCAGGUCACCUGAAGUACAACUGAUUCAUUUCCAUAGAAGGACACAAAUGAUUUGAAUGGGUGUCUAUUUUCCUGCAUUCUUGCACCAAGUUGGAUUGGAAACGGUUUGGAAAGUGUCCCCCUGGCAAAGUUUUACAGUUUCUGUGUUCAUGCAACACGAAUCUUCCCUAAAAGAUCCAUAAAAUGAAAGCAAAACGCAGAUGAAACUAAGUUAAACAUAGCUGGAUGGCAGUCCUAUCAACGUCAGCUAAAGACAUUUACAGCUGAAAUAGGCGAGCUAUUAAAUAACAGACAAGGGAAUAAAAGGUUGAAUGUUUGGUUAAUCCUCCGCAAGAGUCCACAUGAACAAGUCUGUCCGAACAUUCUAAGUUUUGUUCAAGAAAUAUCAUUUUAAAAUUACAUCUGCACUAAUAAGAAUGAUGAGCAAAGUAUACUCCAGGUGGGGUGGCCUCAUGUCCGUUAAUGUGUUAGAUAACAGCCGAAGACCCUGUUCGAUGACAUCAGGAAAUUUUACCUCUUAGUAUGAAAACCAAGGCCGGGCUUGAAGGCACCUUUGAGAUAAACCCAGAAAAGUUACAGAAACCAAAAACAUAUCAUUUGAAUAGUUUUAUUAACCUGAACAGAUUCAAAACAGCAUCAAAAAUAAAAUAGGAAACAGGAAGUUCCUCUGAAAAUUAAAACAAUAUUGACAAAAAUGCAGAUAAGAUUAGAUUGUUAUGUUUACAAUUAUCUCACACUCUUUAUUUGCUUUCAAUUUCUGAAAAACAAAAAGAAAAAUGACUCAUUGCACUUUUAUUCAUGUCUAAUGCUAAAGUGGUAAAAUGGUAAGCUUCCGGUAUGUAGAAUUAAAAUGUCUUUUAUAAGAUAAUCUGACUAAUAAAAACAAAUUUAAUGUAAUCUAUGUCUGAUGGAUACAAAGGUUUUACUGGUUUUAGUGUCCACGAUGACUUUUAACUGUCCUUAUCUCAACAUAAAUAAUGUGCCUAUAAAAGUUAAUCAUCUACAUGUUGGUAAUGAGACAAGCUCAACAGCCAUAAAAGAGAGAGACAGAGAGAGAGAGAGA